AUGCGUGGAUUCUCUUCCGUUGACGCGCCACAUGGCACCGCUCUGUUAAACCAUCACUUGUGGAACGUUACCAGUAGAAGGUGCAGAUUGACGAAAGCGCAGUGCCCUCAGCAAGCUGCUUCAAACAAAGAAAAACCCAAUGAAACGCUGGUGAAAACCGCUGUGUGAGCAGCACAAACCAACCCUACUGCUGCGAACACGAUCGCUCACCAACAACGUCCGCCAUCAGCCCCUCGAGGGUGUUCUCGGCCCAGGCCCAAGGCCGCGCGCCCGCCAUGUGACCGUGGACGCCCCUGUGGAAAGAGGUCACUACGCAUUCAAGUACACCACGUUAAAAUGCCCCUAAAGUGCACAGCGAGACGUACGUUUUGGCCCACUUGUCCAGCUCCUCCCUCAGGUACUUCCCGGCCUUCUUGGGCUGAAGCCCCAGCGAGUUCCCCACCAGGUAGAUGCACUCCUGGGAGCCGUCGACCAGCGACAGGUCGGCUGCGGGGGCACCAGACGGAGGAAUCCUCACGGAUCUCAGGUACCGGACACUCACCUCUCCAAAGCACUCGUUUGGUUCACUCACCCUGAGGCAGGUCCGCCAUCCUGGGCACCAGGAACUUCCUCCUGAGGUGCCGCAGCGUGUCCUGUUGGUCCAGGUAGGACGCCACGUCUGCAGAGGUCGGGCCGCGGUCCAGCUGAGCCGCGAUCCGCUCCACGGUUUCCCUCGCUGUCAAGCCCACAAACCGGUCCAUGGCUGGGGGGGACGAGGACGCUGCUACGGGAUGUUUAUCUGCUUAGCCGACCUUUAGAUGAAACCAACAACGAGGUUCUGAAUCAGCGAGCAAACAUGCCAGAGAGGGAGCUCCCCUUGUUUUGUGGUUUCUCUCUGGUGGAAACACCAAGCUUCCAUUAGCUUCGCUUUACCUGUCUUCUGCUUGACGUAAUUAUAGAAUAAUAAUAAUAUUGACUUUAUUCAUUUAGAACCUUUUAAAGAACAAAGCACCGUAAGAAAAGUUAGAAAACAUCCCUUAUUUAAAGCCUGAAUUUAGAAGAAACAAUAUCACCAUUCCCCACGGUUAAAAUGAAAAAAUAAAUUGAAUUAAUGAAUCAAAUUGAUUAAAAAGUAAAUUAUUCAAAUAAAACAAAUUGAGUAAAAUAAAAUAAUUUAGUAAAAUAACAUCACUGAUAAAAAUGAAGCAGUAAUGUGACGACAACAACCUGCCACAUGUUUGUGCACAUGUGGCAGGUUCCACGCGAUGUCAGAACAGGCAUAACUAUAAACGUGUCUAACGUGGUUUAUUAUGAACAUCGUCCUCUUCUGUAAUUUUUCCAAAUUAAUGAAAGUAAUUGCGGUAGUUUCCGGUAACGCGUUAUCUGUAUGUCGUC